GACUUCUACCUACUGAACGGUGCGCUGGAAGCAGAAGAAGAUAACAUGGGAAGCACAGCCAUCACCUUCAUCCUUCUCUUCCUCAUCACUCUGCUGUUCAGCAUUGGAACCACUGCUUUUAAGGUUAAAUGAAACAAGGUGAACUUUCUGUAAAAACAAAAAAAAAACUAUAUUUCACGCAUUUCUUCUUAUAAACUCAUAGUAUCAUGUAAGUAAUCACUGUUGUCCUUUUUCCUUUUAAUUACAAGAGCUUUGUGUCUUUUUGAAAAUAAAUGUUUAUUGAAGAUAACCAUUAAUGUUGCUCCUCCAACUUUUUUCUCUUCCAUUAUUUUGAAACUGUUCAUACUGCCUGUAGUUUCACCUAUAAAGAAAUACUCAAACAGUCCUAUUUAUUUAUUUCAUCUCUUUAAAAAUGAUUUUAUUAUGCAAUAUGUUAUGUUUGUCAUCUCCCUAGCACCUGGAAUCAUCAGCCCGUGUUCAACUCGACAUGUAAAUAUGGAGACUGUACAGUCGGUUAGUUCUCGAGUCUAUUAUUAAGAGAGUCGAGAACUAAAACCUUUAGCAAAGUCAUGAGAAGCCAUGUGAAAAAAUAUGUAAACUGAUAUGAGACAUGUAAAUGUGCACGCCGCUUCUUCUUACUGGCACAACUGCGCCUCACACCUGCUGUCUGUGACGCACCGUUGCUCUUUGCAUUGUUUCACUUCUGCAUUUUGGUACUGUUUCGGGACCUGGGUGUUACUCAAUGCUUCCGCUCGCUGCUAGCCGUGAUGUCAUGCUGCGACAUCUGUGCAACAGACUUCCAGCGCCGUCUCCACCUGACUUUAACCCUCCGAGACCCGCGACUGACUUUACCGUCUUUCAGAGGCUCUAAUAGGUUCAGUUUUAGAGCUCGAGUGAAGCUACAGAUAUCAUAUGAAACUUUAACGCCACUAAUUUCAACCUGACCAAAAUCUGAAGCACCGCUGGUCGUCUCUCCAAACAUCACAUUACAUCCCGACUGGGAAGGUGAAUUCGGGACCUCAUCGGUCAAACUCAUCUGCACCCUGAGCGGCUUCUUUCCAAACGAUCUGGAUGUGAUGUGGGAGCGGGACGACCAAAC